AAUCUAGAGCCGGGACUCAGCAAGCCAGACACGGAAGGUCAAGACCAGCCCCUGGUCCUUCCCACCUGGCCUCAUCUCCUGCCCACCGGGGCCUCACAGCAACCACCCCUGCUUUCUGCCUGUCCCUGAGCCCCCAGGUCCCUUGCCAUCAACCACCAGCAGAGCCGACUGUCCUGGCACCGUGUCCUGCCAUGUCACUCCACUAUCACUGAAGGCAGAUCUCACCGCUACCUCGACUGGCCUUCAACAUGUUUUGAGUAACUGUCAAAAUUUAAUUGGGAUCUAUCGGACCAAAGUGAACAACUUUCUCAAGGCAAACAGGAUCCCCCAACUAAAGAUGACCAACACAGAACUAACUAGGGAGGCAAUGAUGUGAUUAUUUUAUUAAAACACAAUCAGGGGCUUCCCUGGUGGCACAGUAGUUGGGAAUCUGCCUGCCAGUGCAGGGGACACAGGUUCGAGCCCUGGUCCGGGAAGAUCCCACAUGCCGCGGAGCAACUGGGCCCAUGCACCACAGCUACUGAGCCUGCGCGUCUGGAGCCCGCGAGCCACAACUACUGAGCCUGCGUGCCACAACUACUGAGGCCCGCACGCCUAGAGCCCGUGCUCUGCAACAAGAGAGGCCACCGCAAUGAGAAGCCCGCGCACCACAAGGAAGAGUAGCCCCCGCUCACCACAACUAGAGAAAGCCUGCGCGCAGCAACAAAGACCCAACGCAGCCAAACUUUACGGACGUGUACUCGACAUAUAAUAAACUGUGCAUAUUUAAAGAGCACUAUUUGAGGGACUUCCCUGGUGAGGAAGCGGUUAAGAGUCUACCUGCCGGGCUUCCCUGGUGGCGCAGUGGUUAAGAAUCCGCCUGCCAAUGCAGGGGUCACGGGUUUGAGCCCUGGUCCGGGAAGAUCCCACAUGCCGCGGAGCAACUAAGCCCGUGCGCCACGGUACUGAGCCUGCGCUCUAGAGCUCGCGAGCCACAACUACUGAGCCCGAGUGCCACAACUACUGAAGCCCGCGUGCCUAGAGCCCGUGCUCCGCAACAAGAGAAGCCAUCACAAUGAGAAGCCCACGCACCGCAAAGAAGAGUAGCCCCUGCUCGCCGCAACUAGAGAAAAGCCUGCACGCAGCAACAAAGACCCAACGCAGCCAAAAAUAAAAAUAAAUAAAUAAAUUAAAAAAAAAAAAGAGUCUACCUGCCAAUACAGGGGACACGGGUUCGAGUCCUGGUCCGGGCGUGGGGAUCCCACAUGCCGCGGAGCAGCUGGGCCGUGCGCCACAACUACCGAGCCUGCGCUCUGGAGCCCGCGAGCCACAACUACCGGGCCCACGUGCCACGACUGCUGAGGCCCGCACACCCGGAGCCCGUGCUCCACAAUGGGAGACGCACCACAGUGAGAGGCCCGCGCACUGCAGUGAGGAGUGGCCCCCGCUCGCCGCAACUGGAGGGGGCCUGUGCGCAGCAACGAAGACCCAACGCAGCCAGAAAUAAAUUAAUUAAUUAAAAUAAAUAAAUAAAGCACAUGGCCCUACUUUGGCCUUUAAAAAUAGAUAAAAAAUAAAGAGCACUAUUUGAUAACGUCUGACACAUGUACAUGCCUGUGAAACCAUCACCAAAAUCAGCAUAAUAAACAAUUCCAUCGCCCUCCCCAAGUUUCCUGGUGCCCUUGUUACUCCCUCCCCCCUCUCGCCCUUCCGUGUACCACCCGCUCUGUUCCAAGGCAAGGACUGAUCUGCUUUCUGUAACUACAGAUUCGUUGGCAUUUUAAAAAAUUUCUGCAAAUGGA